ensembl:lncRNA
AGAGCUGCCUGACACAGUCCAACACCCUCCCAAAUUUUGCCCCAUCGCCCAAACUUAAAAUCCAGGAUUUUUUCCCCAUAUUUGACCAAAAAAAACCGGAUUUGGCUGAAAACUUGAAUUUUCAUUUAGGAUUUGUCUGAAAAACUGGGAUUUUCCCCCAUUUUUACCUUUCCCACCUAUUUUUGGUACCUAGAGCUGCCUCACACCACCCAACAUCCUCCCAAAUUUUGCCCCAGUGCCCAAACUGAAAAUCCGGGAUUUUUCCCCAUAUUUGACAUUAAAAAAAAGACGGAUUUAUCCAAAAAACCGGGAUUUUCCCCAUUUUUACCUUUCCCACCUAUUUUUGGUACUUACAGGUGCCUCAAACAACCCAACACCCUCCCAAAUUUUUCCCCAUCGCCCAAACUGAAAAUCCUUGAUUUUUCCCCAUAUUUGUCAUUAAAAAAAAAGACAGAUUUAUCCAAAAAACCGGGAUUUUCCCCCAUUUUUACCUUUCCCACAUAUUUUUGGUGCCUAGAGCUGCCUCACACCACCCAACACCCUCCCAAAUUUUGCCCCAUCGCCCAAACUGAAAAUCCGGGAUUUUUCCCCAUAUUUGACCAAAAAAAAGAAGAAUUUGGCUGAAAACUUGGUGUUUCAACUGGAAUUUGUCCAAAAAACCGGGAUUUUCCCCCAAUUUUACCUCUUCCAUGUAUUUUUUGUCACCUAGAGCUGCCUCACACAACCCAACACCCUCCCAAAUUUUGCCCCAUCGCCCAAACUGAAAAUCCGGGAUUUUUCCCCAUAUUUGACCAAGAAAAAAAAGGAUUUCGGUGAAAACUUGAAUUUUCAUUUAGGAUUUGGUUCAAAAACUUGGAUUUUUCCCCAUUUUUACCUCUCCCACAUAUUUUUUCCACCUAGAGCUGCCUGACACAACCCAACACCCUCCCAAAUUUUGCCCCAGUGCCCAAACUGAAAAUCCGGGAUUUUUCCCCAUAUUUGUCAUUAAAAAAAAAGACAGAUUUAUCCAAAAAACCGGGAUUUUCCCCCAUUUUUACCUCUCCCACAUAUUUUUCCCACCUAGAGCUGCCUGACACAACCCAACACCCUCCCAAAUUUUGCCCCAUCGCCCAAACUGAAAAUCCGGGAUUUUUCCCCAUAUUUGACCUUAAAAAAAAGACAGAUUUAUCUGAAAAAUUGGUAUUUUUUCCCAAAUUUUACCUCUCCCAUAUAUUUUUCCCACCUAGAGCUGCCUGACACAGUCCAACACCCUCCCAAAUUUUGCCCCAUCGCCCAAACUUAAAAUCCAGGAUUUUUUCCCCAUAUUUGGCCAUAAAAAAAACGGAUUUGGCUGAAAACUUGAAUUUUCAUUUAGGAUUUGUCUGAAAAACUGGGAUUUUCCCCAAUUUUACCUCUCCCACAUAUUUUUCCCACCUAGAGCUGCCUCACACAACCCAACACCCUCCCAAAUUUUUCCCCAUCGCCCAAACUGAAAAUCUGGGAUUUUUCCCCCAUAUUUGACAUGAAAAAAAAAGACAGAUUUGUCCAAAAAACCGGGAUUUUCCCCCAAUUUUACCUCUCCCACAUAUUUUUUCCACCUAGAGAUGCCUCACACGGUCCAACAUCAUCCCUGAUUUUUCCCCAUCGCCCAAAUUGAAAAUCCGGGAUUUUUCCCCAGAUUUGACCAAAAAAAAUAAACGGAUUUGGCUGAAAACUUGAAUUUUCA